rnacentral:rRNA from 1 species
CGAUUCUGGCUCAGGAUGAACGCUAGCGGCAGGCUUAACACAUGCAAGUCGAGGGGCAUCGGGAGUAGCAAUACUUGCCGGCGACCGGCGCAAGGGUGCGUAACGCGUGAGCAACAUGCCCGUAUCAGGGGGAUAAUCCAUGGAAACGUGGUCUAAUACCCCAUAGUAAUUAUGUAAGGCAUCUUAUAUAAUUUAAAGCUUUGGUGGAUACGGAUUGGCUCGCGUGACAUUAGCUGGAUGGUAAGGUAACGGCUUACCAUGGCUACGAUGUCUAGGGGUUCUGAGAGGAAGGUCCCCCACACUGGAACUGAGACACGGUCCAGACUCCUACGGGAGGCAGCAGUGAGGAAUAUUGGACAAUGGAUGGAAAUCUGAUCCAGCCAUGCCGCGUGCCAGGAAGACGGCCCUAUGGGUUGUAAACUGCUUUUGUAUGGGAGCAAUAAGGGCUACGUGUAGUCCGAUGAGAGUACCAUACGAAUAAGCACCGGCUAACUCCGUGCCAGCCGCCGC